UACGUAGGUGGCAAGCGUUGUCCGGAAUUAUUGGGCGUAAAGCGCGCGCAGGCGGUCUUUUAAGUCUGAUGUGAAAGCCCACGGCUCAACCGUGGAAGGUCAUUGGAAACUGAAGGACUUGAGUACAGAAGAGGAAAGCGGAAUUCCACGUGUAGCGGUGAAAUGCGUAGAGAUGUGGAGGAACACCAGUGGCGAAGGCGGCUUUCUGGACUGUAACUGACGCUGAGGCACGAAAGCGUGGGGAGCAAACAGG
rnacentral:rRNA from 1 species